ensembl:misc_RNA Metazoa_SRP Metazoan signal recognition particle RNA
GUGGGCGUGCUGGCAUGUUCCUGUAGUCCUAGCUACUUGGGAGGCUGAGGCGGGAGGAUCGCUUGAGCCCAGGAGUUCUGGGCUGUAGUGCACUAUGCUGCUAUGCUAAUCAGGUGGCCGGUUCGGCAUCAGUAUGGUGACCUCCUGGGAGCAGGGGACCACCAGGUUGCCUAAGGAAGUCAGAAAUGGAGCAGGUCAGAAAUGGAGCAUGUCAAAAACUCUCAUGCUGAUCAGUGGUGGGAUCAUGCCUUUGAAUAGCUACUGUACUCUAGCGUGGGCAACGUAGUGAGACCCCACCCCAU